rnacentral:rRNA from 1 species
UACGAAGGGGGCUAGCGUUGUUCGGAAUUACUGGGCGUAAAGCGCACGUAGGCGGAUACUUAAGUCAGGGGUGAAAUCCCGGGGCUCAACCCCGGAACUGCCUUUGAUACUGGGUAUCUCGAGUCCGGAAGAGGUGAGUGGAAUUCCGAGUGUAGAGGUGAAAUUCGUAGAUAUUCGGAGAAACACCAGUGGCGAAGGCGGCUCACUGGUCCGGUACUGACGCUGAGACGCGAAAGCGUGGGGAGCGAACAGG